UCGAACCUCACUGCACUCAAUUGUGCGAUUUCACUUUUCUUUUUUUCUUUUCUCUCCUUCGACUUUAGUUUCCAACUUCUCCAUUUCGUUCAUGUUGUUCUCCGUAGAAAUUAAUGGAAAACCAAAACUUAAAUUCUAAAAGAGGCGAUAAUAAGAAAAAUUGUGAUUUGUGAUCAAAGAACUCUCUUUAUUCUCUGCAGCUUGAAAAAACCCUAUACAAAUGUUCUCCUGCAACUUGAAAAAACCCUAGGUUUUAAAUUUUGGGUUUCUCGAAGAACAAGAUGAAGUGAGACGCAUGAAUAUCGAUUCAAAACUGAAGACUGCUUCUGAUUUUUUAAAGGAGAGCAUUCAAAGUACCACAGUUAUCAGAUUUGGGUGUUGAGGGGACUUUAUCGACUUGAUGACAGAGUUUUCAUAAGUAAAUCCGGGCUUGAUGACUUCACAGGUUUGCAUUCUACAUUGACACCAGCUUUGGCAGUCGUAAGAGUUUCAGCAAACGAACAAUCUACUGCCAUAAAUCCUCAGGGUAACACAGUAGUCAGGGGCAAUGCAAUAUACAUUCCCCGCCGAAGUCCCAGAAUUAUUGAGCAGCUUCAGCAGGGUGAAUCAAUUGAUAUUGAGAAAGAAAGAGGCAAGAAACGCUGCCAUGACUCAGCGUGUUCAGAUAAUGAGAGUACCGAAACAAAAAGGCAAGAAAAGUGCCGCACUUAUGGAACGAACGGAACGGCAGGCGCAUCGCGCGAGCGUGUUAUACUAGUCUAUAGAAAGAAAAGACUAGUUCUAUAGCAAGGAUACACCACAAAACUAUAGCAUGGAUACACCCAAAAAUUCAGGUUUAUCUGUUAAAAUACCAUUGUCACAGAUACAAAUCAAACCUGCUUAACCUAAGAUGCAAAAAUAACAUCUGAAGUAAAAAAAGGAACAAUCUUCCCUUCUUUUCUUCUUUUUCUUUUAUUUUGGGGUUUUCAA